rnacentral:rRNA from 1 species
UACGUAGGGAGCAAGCGUUGUCCGGAAUCAUUGGGCGUAAAGCGCGCGUAGGCGGCCUCAUAAGUCCGUUGUGAAAGUCAAAGGCUCAACCUUUGAAAGCCGAUGGAUACUGUGAGGCUAGAGUCCGGAAGAGGCGAGUGGAAUUCCUGGUGUAGCGGUGAAAUGCGUAGAUAUCGGAAGGAACACCUGUGGCGAAAGCGGCUCACUGGACCACAACUGACGCUGAUGCACGAAAGCUAGGGGAGCAAACAGG